rnacentral:piRNA from 1 species
AUGCUCUUCACGGGCAACUACCUCUGCAAGC